UACGGGGGGGGCAAGCGUUGUUCGGAAUUACUGGGCGUAAAGGGCUCGUAGGCGGCCAACUAAGUCAUACGUGAAAUCCCUCGGCUUAACCGGGGAACUGCGUCUGAUACUGGAUGGCUUGAGUUCGGGAGAGGGAUGCGGAAUUCCAGGUGUAGCGGUGAAAUGCGUAGAUAUCUGGAGGAACACCGGUGGCGAAGGCGGCAUUCUGGACCGAUAUUGACGCUGAGGAGCGAAAGCCAGGGGAGCAAACGGG
rnacentral:rRNA from 1 species